CUUUACCAUUCAUCUGUUGACAGACACGUGGGCUGGUUCCACUUCCUGGCUGUGGAAGAAGAGAGAGAAGAGGCACACAUGGCCGUCCAGGUGUCUUUGUGGUGUGCUGUCCUCAGGGUGUGCAGCUGUUUUUACUUUUAAUUGUGUUUUUGUUUUUGUUUUUGUUUUGAAGACAGGGUCUCACUAGGGAGCCCUUGCCAACCUGGAACUCUCUAUGUAGACAGCCAGUCACGGUGCGAGGAUCUCACAUAACCCCCGUUGGUUUCAAACCAACCAAGGGUGUCUUUGAACUGCCUCCCUGCCGAUGGAACGCCAGCGGUUCACGAGUGCCAAGCGGGUACUCUAUUGACUGAGCCCUGUCCCCACCCCAUGCCCGUUUGUCCUUUUCCUGAUUCCUGAAGUGAAACUGUUCACGUCAAGGACCUGACCGGAAUCUGGGGUCCUCUCUUGUCUCCAAGCAAUGACGCCAAGUUUCAAUUCUGCAAUGUUGCUAUGACCUCUGGGCAUAACCCGUCACCAACUUCACGGGACAGUGGUCACCGUGGCGACCUUCAGAGUUCCUCGGCCCCAAGUCAGGACAAGGCAAUAAUCAAAACCGUGAUGCGGUGAUCGUGGUUACUGGGGGUGGGGCAGGUGUUGAGACCUUCCGAUCCUGUAACCUCUUCUGCCUGCUUCCCCCAGCUCCUGAUGGGCUACAUUCCUGAACCGUCACCCAGGCUGGGACAUGACCUUGUGGUGAUGCAGCUGCCUUCGUCGCCCACACUGCUGCAAGUAACCCCAAUAAACUCAUUGCUCUGCCA